rnacentral:tRNA from 1 species
GCGGCGGUGUCCGAGAGGCCAAAGGAGAUCGGUUUAGGUCCGACUGGUGUAGAACCGCCAGGGGUUCAAAUCCCCUCCGCCGCA